UCCCCGUUAGUUUUUUUUUUCUCACCGCGCCUCUCCGCUUACCCGCCGCGAUACCCACCCCGCUAAUCACGCCCUCUCCAUCCCCGUCGCUCCUCCCUUCCCCAUCCGCACCAUCCGCUAAUCCGCAUCGUGCUGCCCUUCCCAUGCUCUCUCCUCCUCCGCCCGACCGCCCCCAUGCGCUUUGCCUCCGCAGGGAGGAGGUUCUCCUUCGGGGAUGGCAGUGCCGCGACCGGGGACGCGCACGCUGAGCAAGGGAGCGUGGAGAUGGAGGCGGAUCGGGGACGGGAUCGCGCAGAUGGACGUGUGCAACGCGCAGAGAUGACGUCGGCCGGGGGCGUUAGCGACGGCGACGGCCUUCUCUCCGGUAAUCUCGUCUCCAUCCUCUUCCUUGACCUUCUCUCACGGGUUAGGGUUCGAUUGUUUUUUUAUUCGUAUAUGCCUGGAUGGCCGGAUCCGGUUCAUGACUCAUGAUUUUCAUGCCUAGCGGGCCGAAUCCGGUUCUUGAUUCGUGACUAGAAUGGCUGGAUAUUUCAAUUUGGUUUUCUUGUUGAUUAUUGUGGAGCGGACAUGUGCUGGUGAGCUUUCCAUUGGUUCGUGCUCUAGAUCAGAGCAGUUGAUGUCAUCACACGUGUCGCAUAGUAGUUGAUUUGGUUUUCUUGUUGAUUAUUGUGGAGCGGACAUGUGCUGGUGAGCUGGCCAUUGGUUCGUGCUCUAGACCAGAGUAGUUGAUGUCAUCACCCAUCCUCUAAUGGGCAGGAAUUUUCUUUGCACUGUGCCAAACGGGCCAAAGUUCAUGGUCAUAUAAUCUUGCUCUGUGCUUGAGAUUCUGAAGAAGAUCUUGGUUAGAUAGCAAAGAUCGAUGACCCUGGUUAAGUACUGUACUUUCUUCACUGAAUGUAUGUUGUGCCUUGCCAAAUAUAUGGAUCUCCUUUUUUUUCUAUUGAUCACUCAGAAUGUGAUGGACUGAUAGCUAAAAGUAGCUGCAUUAGAAAACCUAGAAUUUAAAUUAGUUGUAAGCUAAUUUUACGUGUACAUCUAAUUAUCUGAUUUCAUGUAGUUUGCAUGUGCCUAAUAUUUGUCUUGCUAUCCCCCCCCUCCCCCCCAAUUUUUUUUUGUCUUGCUAUAGUUGAGCUGUUUAUAUGAGUAAUAACAAACAGAAGAGUUGUCUUGCAGCCUGCUUGUUGUAUGGAUAAAUAAAGUCAAGACUAGGCAGUCAGUAGUACAUGUAAAAUUAGCUCACAGCUGCAGCUCUUAUUAACCUUCCCCGUAAUUGACCGGGCCCUCGCUGGACGCUGUCGCAUCACAAACUAUGGAGUCUCAUUUUGCUUUUAUUACUGUAGGUCCUAAAAGCCACAGCCCAACAUUGUUUCGGAUUCUAUUGAUUUUGCUAAAGGGGAUGUCGAUGUCCAGAUUACCAAAUUCACAAGCCUUGUGCCAAUCGACUUGAAGUUCGGAGCCUCACUAAUCAUACUAAAUGAUUGUGCCUAUAUAUGUUGAUAUAGAUUGUGGAGAGGCAUGCUAGGAAGUAAGCAAAUAUUAUUUUUCUACCUUUUCUUUUGUUCUGCACAUGUUCUUGUGAAUCAGUCGUGCAUAGAGUGAGCUCACCGCUAAGCAUAAUCACUACUUGACAAAAACACGGUGAUCACUUUAAUAGAACCUGGUACAUACCCCUCUAUUGCAGCACUUGAAGGUGCGUACCACUACGUGUGCCCUACUGUAUUAUUACACGGUUAUCACUUGAAGCUUUGCUCUUGCUUCGUCUACGCACGUGUGAUGACCAACUUAACCAUGCCAUGCAGCCUCCUCAGCUACGAAUCUCUUGUGCUCUGUAUUAAAGGUUGACUUCAUACCAAACUUUGAUAACUCACAGAGGGAGCCAUCUCUGCUGCUGGCUCGUGUUCCAUCUCUAUUGUUGAAUGGUUCUUCUGGGAUUGCGGUUGGAAUGGCAACAAACAUUCCUCCUCACAAUCUGGGGGAGCUUGUUGAUGCACUUUCUGUUAUAAUUCAAAAGCCUGAAGCCACAAACCACCCAGCGGCUGAGAUUGCUGCUCUGCCGCCGCCGGCCACCACUGACACCGAGGAGGAUCGCGCAGCGGCCGCCACACCAGCCGACAACGAUCCCUCCAUCACAGUACCGUAGGAAGAUUGAAAAAUAGCAGGCUAAAGUAGAGAAAUAGUUUGAGAUAUGUGGCAUAACGAUGCCUAACAUCAAACAGGGGAUGUUCUAAUACAUAUUUUUGCUUACUAUGAGAAGAAGAGGCUUUCAGGUUCAGCCGUGGUCAUCACGAGUACAAGCUGAUAAGAGCAACAACCGUAUGGAGCAUUGCAGGUUCUGUGAGUUGUGCUAAUAAAUAAUGGGUUAACAAGCAUGCCAUUGUCAGCAUUAAGUUCAUCUCCUGUUUACUCUUCCUGCUAUUCCAAGAAGAUUUGGAGAGGAAGGUUGUUUGUUCUUCCUGCCAUUCCAAGAAGAUCUGGAAAGGAAGGCUGAGGUGCUCGAGAAGAAAAUAUUUCUACUUUGGGGCAAUGUAAAUCACAGAAUCAAGUUAGCAUAAAUUAUUGGGAGCUCAUGGUUCUUUUUUGGACUAAUUUCAGGUUUCCACACUGAUACAACAUGAUUGACUAAUUUCAGGUUUGAUUUGGUUAUUCUAUUCUCUUCUCGAUUUAAUGAAUGCUUUGAUAUUUUCCACUAAUUAAAGAUGGGUUGUGAUUGAUCCAGGAAGAGUAUUAGUGAUGGGUUUAAAUACUAAGACCUUAGCUAAGUUAUCUCUAUAUAAAUGGAGGUUUUUUCCUUUGGGUGUUUUUUCAUUCAUUAAGUUCAGCUUUUUUAUUGCUGUAUGUACCAAGCUGAAUGCCAUACAUGAGCUCCAAUAUGUCUGUUCUAAGAGAUUUACCUGAUAAUACUAUAUGCCAAUAUCAAGUUAUUUUUGGUACAGUCAAGGACACAGUUAGAAUGCUUGCAUGGUAGAGCUGACGAGUUCAGGCAAUAUGGCUACAAUGCAGUCCUUAUGCAAUCUGAUUCUGUCAACAGAAGGCACUGCAAGAUCCCAGAACAAGACGCUCGAGAAACGGGAUCGGCGGCAGCAAGGACACGAGGGCCGGAGGGGAGGAGCAACCAGAUGGAGGUGCGUGGUCAAGCAAUCCCCUUUAGUUCAUGACCGCAGGCUAGGCGUCUGAACAAACAAACUGAGCUGUAAAGGUGUAAAGGGUAGCCUAGACAAUCCUGUAAUUGUGUUUGAUGGGAUGGCUUGUCCAAAGUUAAAUGAAAGAAUCAAUAUUGUUGUCUCUUCGUAAUCGCAUUGAAUCGUCUCUUUGGGCUGUUGUAAUACUUCAUUCGGAAGGGUAUUCUUCAC